rnacentral:lncRNA from 1 species
AACAUCCUCAAGCUGGAAGAUGGCUUGGUGAAGUCAAAAGCUACGUUUGUUUAUUCAUUUAUUGAACACAUAUUUAUUGAGUUCCCUCUAAGGGACAAACACGAUGCUUCAGGGAACUUGGGGACACUCGGACAAAGCAGACAGGUAAUCAUUGUGUUGCGAGCGCUGAGGAUGGGCAGCUGAGCUCUUGCACGGCAGGAAGGACUACAAUGUCUUUCAGUCUUCUGUCAUGGGGAUUCUCUGGGUCAGGAAUUUUUAAACUCAACAGAGUCACAAGAGGGGGAAAUGGUUGGAUGAAAUUGUUUGGUUGAUGCUAUCUGUUCUUUGUAAGAUGUAUUUGCCUUCCUGAAUGUUUUAGGACCCGUUUUACACUACCCCUAACUUUCAAUCCACCUUAUAGACAGAAUCUCCUUCCUCUUUCUGUUAUUUUCUGUGUCCCUGUUGGCUUUCUCUCUUCCACACAAGAGGUGUUGGGACUCAUGGAAACAAUCCCUUGAAUGUGGAAGACAGACAAGGUAAGAGGCUAGCAAGUCCAAAUCUUCAGGGUGGCCCAGCAGGCUGGAGACCCAGGACAGCCAACGUUCCAGUUUGAGUCCAAAGGCCGUCUGCUGGAGAACCAAGAAGAGCUGAUGUCACAGAUGAAGUCCUAGGCCAUCUGCUGAAGAAUUGCCUCUUGCCUGGAGGAGAUAUAUUGCACGUGAAAGGCCAUAGUCUCCUGAAGGAAACUGGAGACACUGGAACUGAUCUGUGGAGAUCCCGCAAUGGGCAGACUGUGGGAAACAUGCCGGAACCCUGAAACAAACCUGAACUUGAAAAAGCUUGAACUCCAUGAAGAUAGGAAUUAUGUGUGAUUCAUUUUUAUCCACAGUGUGUAGCAAUGCCUGGCAACACACACUCAAGAAAGCCCUGUCC